CCCGCGUGGCGCUGACGUCACCGCCGCUCCCGCCCGCGAUCCCGCAGCGAUCCCGCGGGGAAUGUCCGCUGUGCCUGCGGGACGGAGCCGCCGCACCGACCUGCCGCCUUAGCUGUGGAUCCUGGGAGCUCUCCUGGCAGCAGGAGGGAAGCCACGAGGUGGCAGUGUGCCCCAGGAAAUGGAGCGCUGUCACCUGCCCGGCGCUCCCGAGAGCAGGAAUUCAGCCCGGAGAUCCGGCUGGGGACACUUGGCCGCUUACAGGAGCUGAGGCACGUCUGGGCAUCAUCACUCUGAGCUGAAUUAGACCUGUCUGAGCUUUCACCGUCCUGUCACAGAAGAGGCAAAGGAAGCAACAGGGCUCAGAGUGAGUGGCUCCAGGUGUCAACUGAGCAAACUCAGGAUCAGCUGCAGCUCUUCCAGAGUGCGUGUCCACGUGCAGAAUAUUCCGGAACAGGCCUCCUCCGCAUCAGUCAUCAGCUUCAAUUACCAGUUUUCCGGAGCCGAGCCAUCAGGCAGUCUGACACGAGGGUCCAACCUAAUUCCCACCUUCUCCAAAGUCAAGAGCAUAAUGUGCAGAUGAAAAGGUGGAAAAUAGCCUGGACUUCAUUAGCAUGCAGAGCCCGGCUGUUCAUUUGCUUGCUGCGAAUGGAAGUUCUGACACUCGGCGCCUUCUGCAAUAUGAGAAAAGUCCUCUUCAGAGUAUAUGAUGUCCUCACCAGCCAGCAAAGGUCAUCAAAAAGGCAGGCGCUGACCUUGCUCCCUGCUCUUCAUGACUAGUUUAUUGAUUCCAGGAACACCUCAUUACAUGCCGGAUCAACAUAUUAUUGCCAUGUUCAGCGGCUGAAUUGUUUACAAGUGUCUUUAUAACCAGCAGAAAGCCUUCCGGAUGAUGCAUGACUACACUCAUUUGGAUGUGACCUGCCAAUUAGAUGUUAUCCGAUAUGGUGCCGUGUGUCUUGAUCCCUGACCGGGCCCGCUGCCCUGCAUCGGCACGGGCCCAUUUACUACUUCUUUCUAACGGCUCUUUGGGAAAGUGUCCAUUAGCCUGUCAGUCUGUAAAUAUUUUAUUUUUGUACCUCGGCGCCGCCGGCGCUCCCGCUCCGUCAUUUGCUAUGCAUGAGGUUCAUAAUCAGCCGGGGGAAGGGGGGUGUUUUAUGGCGGCGGCUGAUAACCCACCCCAUUUGCAGUCAGCGUGCACGGCCAGCGCUCCCGAGCCGCGUGCCGGCCCGGCACACACACCCCGCAUAUUUUAU